CCCUUAGAUGUUCUGGGCCGCACGCGCGCUACACUGAUGCAUUCAACGAGUCUAAAACCUGCUCUGAUAGGGGUGGGUAAUCUUUUGAAUGUGCAUCGUGAUUGGGAUAGAUGAUUGCAAUUUUUCAUCUUCAACGAGGAAUGCCUAGUAAACGCAAGUCAUCAGCUUGCAUUGAUUACGUCCCUGCCCUUUGUACACACCGCCCGUCGCUCCCACCGAUUGAAUGAUCCGAUGAAUAUCAUGGAUUGAGGAUGCAAGUAGGUUAGCCUAUCUUCAUCUUCGAGAAGUGAAGUAAAUCUUAUCAUUUAGAGGAAGGAGAAGUCGUAACA
rnacentral:rRNA from 1 species